rnacentral:lncRNA from 1 species
GGUAAAGACGAAUGAGCGAACCUUGCACACCAAGAUUCAAAUGAUUAUGAUGAUAUGGUGGUUAUGGUUGCAGUUGUAAAUGACCAUGUUGAAUGCAAGAUCUGGUUCCUCGACUCAAGCUGCUCGAAUCACAUGACAUGCCUAAGGCUCUCAUGAGAUUUUCCUUGUUUUUCUCUUCUCUUGCCUCUUUUUCUUUAAUUCUAAAACUUUCACCUACCGUAAACUUUUUCCUUCACUUUUCUCCUCCUAAUUUAGAAAACAUAAUUUCUCUCUUUCUAAUAUUCCACUAAGGCUCAACUUAUUACUAACUUACAAUAUUUAUUUUAAUUUCCCACAAUUCGCUUUUUCCACCUCAAACUCAUUAUUUACUUUUAUUUUAUUAUUUCAUUUAAAUAAUAACACUAAAACAUUAUUUUAAUCAAUUAAAUAAUGAUAAAUAAAUCUACCAACCUUUAAUCACUCCCCACACUCUCUACUUAACGGUCACCCACUCUUGUUGCUAGGGUCGGUCCAAACUUUUUAG